UACGUAGGGUGCAAGCGUUAUCCGGAAUUAUUGGGCGUAAAGAGCUCGUAGGCGGUUUGUCGCGUCUGCUGUGAAAACUGGGGGCUCAACCCACAGCCUGCAGUGGGUACGGGCAGACUAGAGUGCGGUAGGGGAGAUUGGAAUUCCUGGUGUAGCGGUGAAAUGCGCAGAUAUCAGGAGGAACACCGAUGGCGAAGGCAGGUCUCUGGGCCAUAACUGACGCUGAGAAGCGAAAGCAUGGGGAGCGAACAGG
rnacentral:rRNA from 1 species